UACGUAGGGUGCAAGCGUUAAUCGGAAUUACUGGGCGUAAAGCGUGCGCAGGCGGUUCGUUAAGUCAGCUGUGAAAGCCCCGAGCUUAACUUGGGAAUUGCGGUUGAAACUGGCGGACUAGAAUCUGGCAGAGGGGGGUGGAAUUCCACGUGUAGCAGUGAAAUGCGUAGAUAUUGGGAGGAACACCAGUGGCGAAGGCGGCCACCUGGACCGGUUCUGACGCUGAUGCGCGAAAGCGUGGGGAGCAAACAGG
rnacentral:rRNA from 1 species